rnacentral:rRNA from 1 species
AACGAACGCUGGCGGCAGGCCUCAAACAUGCAAGUCGAGGGGGCGUAGCAAUACGUCACCGGCGGACGGGUGCGUAACACGUGGGAAUGUACCUAGUGGUUCGGAACAACGCUUGGAAACGAGUGCUAAUACCGGAUGUGCCCGAAAGGGGAAAGAUUUAUCGCCACUAGAUCAGCCCGCGCAGGAUUAGCUAGUUGGUAGGGUAAUGGCCUACCAAGGCUCCGAUCCUUAGCUGUUCUGAGAGGAAGAUCAGCCACACUGGGACUGAGACACGGCCCAGACUCCCACGGGAGGCAGCAGUUGGGAAUCUUGGACAAUGGGCGAAAGCCUGAUCCAGCCAUGCCGCGUGAGUGAUGAAGGCCUUAGGGUUGUAAAGCUCUUUUACCCGGGAAGAUAAUGACGGUACCGGGAGAAUAGGCUCCGGCUAACUUCGUGCCAGCCGCCGCAGUAA